ACGAACGCUGGCGGCGUGCUUCACCCCUGCAAGUCGAACGGAAAGGCCCCUUUGGGGGUACUCGAGUGGCGAACGGGUGAGUAACACGUGAGUAACCUGCCCUUGACUUCGGGAUAACUUCAGGAAACUGGGGCUAAUACCGGAUAGGAAUCCUUGCUGCAUGGUGGGGGUUGGAAAGCUUCGGCGGUUUUGGAUGGACUCGCGGCUUAUCAGCUUGUUGGUGGGGUAGUGGCUUACCAAGGCUUUGACGGGUAGCCGGCCUGAGAGGGCGACCGGCCACAUUGGGACUGAGAUACGGCCCAGACUCCUACGGGAGGCAGCAGUGGGGAAUAUUGCACAAUGGGCGGAAGCCUGAUGCAGCAACGCCGCGGGCGGGAUGACGGCCUUCGGGUUGUAAACCGCUUUCAGCAGGGGCGAAGCUUGUGGUGACGGUACCUGCAGAAGAAGCACCGGCUAACUACGUG
rnacentral:rRNA from 1 species